rnacentral:rRNA from 1 species
CUACGGGUUGCACCAGUAGGGAAUAUUGGACAAUGGGCGAAAGCCUGAUCCAGCAACACCGCGUGCACGAUGACGGCCUUCGGGUUGUAAAGUGCUUUUAGAGGAGAUGAGAAAGGACAGUAUCCUCUGAAUAAGCCUCGGCGAACUACGUGCCAGCAGCCGCGGUAAAACGUAGGAGGCAAGCGUUAUCCGGAUUUAUUGGGCGUAAAGCGCGUGCAGGCGGUCUAGCAAGUUGGAUGUGAAAGCUCCCGGCUCAACUGGGAGAGGUCGUUCAAUACUGUUAGACUAGAGAAUAGGGAGGGAGGUGGAAUUCCGGGUGUAGUGGUGAAAUGCGUAGAUAUCCGGAGGAACACCAGUGGCGAAAGCGGCCUCCUGGACUAUUUCUGACGCUAAGACGCGAAAGCUAGGGUAGCAAACGGGAUUAGAUACCCCUGUAGUC